ACCUGGGUGGCUCAGUCAGUUGAGCGUCUGACUUCGGCUCAGGUCACGAUCCCCAGGUU
rnacentral:tRNA from 1 species